UAUGUUUCAUGAAAUGGUGAGUUCCUUUUUUUCUUCAUUUUAUUGAAUUGUAAUAAGAACUUCGAUUGAAGAGUAUUAGCAUGCAUCAACUUCUUGUCGUGGAGUUAAUUUUUUAAAAUUAUCAGGUGAUGUCUUCUUCAGCUCUAUUUUGCCUCGAUGUUACUCUAUUUGGGAUGAUCAACUAAGGUAUAAUAUUUUAAAUUUAUAUAAGCUUAUGUUGAUGCAGAUUUUGUUAAUUUUGCUUGGUGAUUGAGAGUUUAUUCUGUUGUCGUAUCCGUUUUUAUGUUCUUUGCAAUGUCAGGUUAGAUCUCUAUCUUUGUUUUUGUUUUUAUGUUUAACCAUGUUGUUAGAGUAGAUUGUGAUGAAUUAUUACUUAUUGCGGAAGCAGGGAAAUGAUUAUUUGUUUUUUAAAAUUCGAAAAGAUGUCUUACAUCUACAAAUAUGUAGUUAAGCUAUUUUAUUUUCCACUCAAUUUGUUUUUUUUACACUAAUCUCUAUAUUUUAAUCUGAUUUAUAUUGAUAUUUUCUGUAGUUUCAAUGUGCUUAUACCUAUAUAAUGAUGCAUGCUUCAGAUGAAAAGCUUACUGAUCUAAUUCAUAUGCUUGAUAGAUUAUAAUUCAGUUUACUAAAUUAACAUAACGUAAAUAAUUGUGUGUUUACUUGUUUAAACUUAUUGGUGUUUAUUUUUAAUGUGCUGCUUCUUUGGAACAUCUGAAACCAUAUAUGAACUCCUUUAAAUACUUGUUACAGGAUAGCUAGCAAGAUUAAAUGUAAAGUUUAAAAAGUAUCUAGAACCAAGCCCUCCAUUGCAUAUAUAUAGUCUAGUUUAUAAAAAAAUAAUGUCAACAGGCGGUUCCAUUUCAUAUAAUGGAAGAGUCUAAUACUAUCUUCAAAGCACACUCAAUUACUUAAGUGUGAAAUUGUUCACCAUAUGCAUAAGUGUAUUAUCCCCUCCAUUUUUUCAAACUCUUGCUACCAAUUCUUCAAAUUUAACAACUCAAAUAUCAGCUGUAUUAUCUGUCAUUGUCAAUAAAAGAGUUAACAAUAUUAAUUUAUUUAAAGUAUUUUAAUAUUAUAAUUAUUAUAAAUCUUUAUAAAACAAAGUUAAUUGGAUAGUUUAAUAUUCUAAAAUAAACUAACUUAAAUAAUUAAAGCCUAUUUCCCAUUCUGAAAAACUUAUGUCUUCUUCUCCUUCUUUAUAACUUUGCGUAACUUGUUAGUGGGUAGUUUGACAUUUAAUCCCUCAUCAUUUGAAUGUGUUGGUCGAACUCCAACAUGUUUGCCACUAUUGGGAUAUAACUUUCCAGUCAAAUCAAUCACAUCUUCAUUUUGUGAAGAAGCACAAUCUGAAAUGCUAUUUUUCAUAAGUGUUUGAAAAUAAUUUAAAUACAUACAUAAUUUAGUAAUUUAUGUGUGUUGAAUAGUUAUACACAUAAUGUAAAAUAACAAACUAUGUUUUAAAAUCUGAAAAGUUUAAAAACGAAAUAUAGAUUGAAUUAAAUUAUAUACCUCAAUUAGUUUAUCUUCAUCAUAGCUCUGUCCACAAUCAAGGGUUGCCUCCUGUUUCAAAAAUUAUAGUUAAUUUAUUUAUAUGACAAUUAGAGUUAAAUUUUAAUAAUAUAGACACUUACAUUUAAAUUGUGUAUAAGAGAAGGAUGACAAUAUUCCUUUAGUAAUGCUUCAUCAUCAAUGAACUUUACUACUUUGUAAACAUUAUCAUUCUUGUUAAUGUUUGAAUCCUUAAUCUGGACUUUAAACAUGAGCCUUUUCUCAAUCAAAGAAUCAAUUUCUAUUGGAUAACCCAUGUCAGCAUCUCCUAUUAAUCCUGCCUUCAAUUCCUUGGCAGUCUUUCCAAUUAAUUGUAGAACCUCUUUAUUCCACAACAAUAAUGAUAUAAAUCCAAUUUCAUCAGUAACAUGAAUAUGAAGUUGAUACCUAAAGUGUAUAAAAUAGAGUGUUAUAUAAAUUUUAGUUAAAUUUUAAAAAUCUAUAUUGUUUGCUCCAACCUGUGAAUAACAAAUAUAACUUCAGCAUUGCAUUUUAUGCAAUAAUAUUUGUCUCCCAAAGGAUCAACCUUUGUGAUACACUUAUUGCAAGCCAAGUAUGACCAUCUGUGACCAAGUUCCAAACAAACAAUCUUUACACCAAUCCAAUAGCUAGACUCCUGUGAGUUAAAUCAUAAUGUUUAGAUAAUUAUAUGUACUAUAAAAAAAAUAUAGAUUAUAAUUAGUAAUUUAAUAUAUACAACUCACUUCAGUGCAUUGAAGGAAAUCCCUAAUCCCUAAUAAAUUUAAAAGAGACCAUUCAUGUAGACAACUCCUCAAAAAUUGAAAUAUGUUGUUGUGAACUUGUUUGUGAAACCUUCUCGUAUUCACCUGAUGCAAUUAACAUGUAAAUUUAUCAUAAAAUAGUAGUUAUAUAAUUUGUUAAUUUUAAUUCAUUUGGAGUACUUAAUAAUACAUAUGAAUUGUCAAACUUAUUUUUAAAAUUCGAAGAUUGUGGUAGAUCUGCAUUAAUCCAUAGUUGUUCAGCAACUACGAAUAGAAUAGGUAUCUAUAAAAUAAUUUAUAAGAUUUAUUAAGUUAGAUAAAUAUAUUUGUAAUAAUGAUAAACAAUAGUUUAACAAAAUAAAAACUUUAAAAUUCAUACCUCUAAAUUUGUGUGUCUUCAUUAAUUGAAGAACAACAAUUAAUGGUUCAUCUGUCGAUCCAGAUAAAUGUGAUUGCAUUUGAAAUGCGAGAUCACCCCAUAAAGUGGCAGGAAGCUUGUUUCUCCUACAUAAACAGUGUUGUGAAAAUGAUAAAUUUAAUUAUUAUUUCUCCAACAUAAACAAUGUUGUGAAAAUGAUAAAUUUAAUUAUUGUUAUCAUAUAAGAUAAUAUAAUGGUAUAUACCCUAUUAAAUGUAAAUUGUUUAAUAAUACUUACUGCUCAUCUUCUACAACAAUAUUCAUGAAAGAACUAUUGUUGUCUCCUUUCUUUGACAAUUGAAUUGGUUCAUAUGAGACAACAUGUCCAACAACUCUUAAAAAAUGAAAUGCUUAGUUAUAAUAUUUACAGUAUAAUGAAAAUAAUUAUAUAAUAAUAUUAUUAUUUACCAAUUAGUUGAUUCUCGUCGAUCUUGUGUUGAAUUUUCACUUCUUCAAAAGUGCGUAGCUUAAAAACAUCCAUAUGAAAAGAUGAAUCUUCAAUUUCAGUCACAAUAGUACUCUGAGUGAAUGUAAGCUUGUGUUUAUGAGAAUUUGAUUUAAAUUUACGAGUGAUAAGGCGCUAUCACAAAAUAUUUCAUCUGAUAUAAACCAUGAUCAUAAAUCUUGUCUCUAAAAUACUUUAUUGUGAACUUAUCAAUAGAUGCAUGUAUUCGAUCACCCUAUAUGAAAAUAAAAUUUUGUAUAAUCAUUAAUCAUUAAUAUUAAAUGUAUAAUAGAAUUAGAGAAUAACAUUAAAAACACAAAUUUGAAUUAAAUCAUACCUUUUCAUCUUGCAAAAUCAACUCCAUAGUAUACGGAAUAUUAGGCUUGUAUUUAUCGGACACUGUCCAGAAACGAAUAACGCGAAAUUUUAAAUUCCAAUUCAUUAAGUUAUUGGUAAUUUCAGAUAUUGUGUUAUAUUGCAAAGCCAUAUUUUGUAAUUUGAAAGUUGACAGAAACAUGUUUAGUUUGAAACAAAUGGUAUCUAUAUAUAGGUACUUAGUACGUGAUUUGAGAAACAGUUUUUUCAAAAGUUAGUGGGAAGUUACAGAACUGCUCCUAAUUUAAACUGCUCUAAAUUUUAAACUGCUUUUGAAUUUUUUAUUACAGAGUUAGAGGUUAAUUCAGAUGCUGCCAGAUAUUGCUAACAAAGUUGUUUGGAACUGAAGAAGCUAACACGUCAUUUAUGCAAUGAAAUUGUAUUAGAUUUAAAUAUUAAUACCGCUAAAGUGUUGAUAUUUUUUUACAAUUAAUUGUUAAAAUUGAUAAGUUGACAGACAAAAUUAUAUCAUGCUAAUGAUGACACGUGUUUAUAUUUAUUUUAAUUACAAAUGUUAAAUUAGUGUUUAAUUGAAAA
rnacentral:lncRNA from 1 species